rnacentral:rRNA from 1 species
GACGUAGGGUGCGAGCGUUGUCCGGAUUUAUUGGGCGUAAAGAGCUCGUAGGCGGCUCGUUGCGUCAGCUGUGAAAACCCGCGGCUUAACUGUGGGCUUGCAGCUGAUACGGGCGGGCUGGAGUUCGGUAGGGGAGACUGGAAUUCCUGGUGUAGCGGUGAAAUGCGCAGAUAUCAGGAGGAACACCGGUGGCGAAGGCGGGUCUCUGGGCCGAUACUGACGCUGAGGAGCGAAAGCGUGGGGAGCGAACAGG